AGCGAACGCUGGCGGCAGGCUUAACACAUGCAAGUCGAACGGGCACCUUCGGGUGUCAGUGGCAGACGGGUGAGUAACACGUGGGAACGUACCCUUUGGUUCGGAACAACUCUGGGAAACUGGAGCUAAUACCGGAUACGCCCUGAUGGGGAAAGGUUUAUCUGCCGAAGGAUCGGCCCGCGUCUGAUUAGCUAGUUGGUGGGGUAACGGCCCACCAAGGCGACGAUCAGUAGCUGGUCUGAGAGGAUGAUCAGCCACACUGGGACUGAGACACGGCCCAGACUCCUACGGGAGGCAGCAGUGGGAAUAUUGGACAAUGGGCGCAAGCCUGAUCCAGCCAUGCCGCGUGAGUGAUGAAGGCCUUAGGGUUGUAAAGCUCUUUUGUCCGGGACGAUAAUGACGGUACCGGAAGAAUAAGCCCCGCUAACUUCGUGCC
rnacentral:rRNA from 1 species